rnacentral:sRNA from 1 species
UUGACUUUGCUGAUUCUUUGACCUAAUUUAGUGAGUAAGGGUAAGGGAGGAUUGCUCCUCCCUCUGGAACACUGUUUAGAAAGCUGGCGUGCUUAUCAUCAACAGAAUAACCAGGAUGAUGACUAACUUCAUCAUAACCCUUCUCCUUUGA